UAAUGGCAACCCGGCCGUCAAGGUCAGCAA
rnacentral:sRNA from 1 species